rnacentral:rRNA from 1 species
UACGAAGGUUGCAAGCGUUACUCGGAAUUACUAGGCGUAAAGGGCAGGUAGGUGGUUUGGUAAGUCUAUUGUGGAAGCUCCCGGCUUAACCGGGAGAGGCCAAUGGAUACUACCAGGCUUGAGUAUAGGAGAGGUUACUGGAAUUCCCGGAGUAGCGGUGAAAUGCGCAGAUAUCGGGAGGAACACCAAUGGCGAAAGCAGGUAACUGGACUAUUACUGACACUCAACUGCGAAAGCUAGGGGAGCAAACAGG